AGUGAACGUUGGCGGCGUGGAUUAGGCAUGCAAGUCGAGCGAGAACCGUAGCAAUACGGGGACAGCGGCGAAAGGGACAGUAAUGUGUAGGUACCUACCCCCGGGUUCGGGAUAGCCGGGAAACUGCAGGUAAUACCGAAUAAUGUGUCCGGACAAAAGGUGUGAUUCCACCUGGGGAGGGGCCUGCAUCCUAUUAGCUUGUUGGUGGGGUAACGGCCUACCAAGGCGACGAUGGGUAGCGGGGGUGAGAGCAUGACCCGCGUCAUGGGGACUGGGACACUGCCCAGACACCUACGGGUGGCUGCAGUCGAGAAUCUUCGGCAAUGGGCGCAAGCCUGACCGAGCGACGCCGCGUGCGGGAUGAAGGCCUUCGGGUUGUAAACCGCUGUCGUAGAGGAGGAAAUGCAGGAGGGUUCUCCCUCCUGUUUGACCUAUUCUAGGAGGAAGUACGGGCUAAGUUCGUGCCAGCCGCCGCGGUAA
rnacentral:rRNA from 1 species